UACGUAGGUGGCAAGCGUUGUUCGGAAUUACUGGGCGUAAAGGGCGCGUAGGCGGUUCGUUAAGUCCUGUGUGAAAUCCCCCGGCUCAACUGGGGAACUGCACAGGAAACUAGCGGGCUUGAGUUCGGGAGAGGGAAGCGGAAUUCCGGGUGUAGCGGUGAAAUGCGUAGAUAUCCGGAGGAACACCGGUGGCGAAGGCGGCUUCCUGGACCGACACUGACGCUGAGGCGCGAAAGCUAGGGGAGCAAACGGG
rnacentral:rRNA from 1 species